GUUAAAUCAAUUAUAUUGAAAAUCUUUUGGCAGAACAUUAAGAGGCUUUUAGUGGCUUACGAAAUGGAAUACUCUGCUAAGCAAGUGAUAAAUUAAUAGCUAAAUUACUUGAAAUGCAUUACCGCAGUCUGAAAUAGAUUUUCAUAAAGUAUCCAUGAGUCAGCUCAUAAGUUAAACUCCCCAACCAAGUGGCAUUUAUUUUGUUGGUCACUCGCUGGCGCUUAUUUGCUGUGAACCUGUUACAGAGUUGGGCUCAAGUGGAGACCAUGGCGGUGGCAUUCCUGAGCCUGGCAUGCCCAAAGACGAAGCCGCACCCGCAAACGCUUUCCAUCUCGAUCGGAUUCGGAUUCUCUAUUAUCCAAUAUCCAUUCUCCUCUUGCGAUCUGGGAAAUACGUUGAUCUAGGCGAGAGAGGGAGAGAGAGAUCAAUUAAGACAGGUGAUUGCCUGGCCAGCAAUUAAAUUCUUGACGGGCUCUAAUGUAUGUCCAUAGUGUUUAUUGCCAAUGACUGACUGAAUUCAAUUGAAAUGUCUAUAUCCGACUCUUACCUCAGCGGUGCCAGGUGGCAGUGGCGAUUCGAGGGGGCCUUCGAAAGGAAAACCGGACACCUCACGAUCCAGUUGAAUCCAGUAAGCCGCCAGCGGUAUUCUGGCCACCGUGUCGGAUACGCGAUUUCUGAAGAUCAGAGAUGGCCAAGGAAAACGCAGCUUAAUAGUGGGUGGUAAUGGGUGGUGCCUUCAUUAUGGAGCGUAGAUGAAAUGUCAACGACUUGUGACAAAUUAAAAGUGCAACGUCAGCGAGCAGGAAAUGAUCUUGGAGUAGCGAACCCAAUGGGCUGAAUGCCCUCGAUAGGGAAUUUCAAUUCCAAUUUCCAAGGAAAUCAGGUGCACCUGUUAUACCCUACGUUUAAAGCAAUCAAAAAUUGGUCUUUUUCCAGUGAAAGCAAAUUGU